rnacentral:tRNA from 1 species
UUCCUGGAGGUCAAGUGGUUAGGACUUUGCACUUUCAUUGCUCAGGGUAUGGGUUCAAUUCCUGGUCAGGGAA